AUGCUACUCGCCCACCUUCUGUGGGUGUCCAUGGCCUUUAUCUACUCCUACUCUGGAUUCAUUGUGGCUCAGAAAGUGACUCAAGUCCAGCCAGUGACAUCUGGUCAGGAGGGAGAAACAGUCACGCUGGACUGUUCUUAUGAAACGAGUUGGAGUGCAUACGACAUAUUUUGGUACAAACAACUUCCCAGUGGAGAGAUCAUUUUCCUUAUUCGUCAGAGCUCUUCUGGUUUCAGUGAAAUAAGAGGUCACUAUUCUGUUUGGUUCAGGAAAACAGCUAAAUCCAUCAGCCUUAUCAUUUCACCCUUCCAGCGGGAAGACUCAGCAAAGUAUUUCUGUGCUCUGAGGGAACUCACAGUGUUUAAAUUAAUAGUAAAAGCUGAACAAAAACUCAGGAGCUGCAUAAGGAGAUGGACCCCUGCUGCAGAAGUCAGCUGA